GAUGAACGCUGGCGGCGUGCCUAAUACAUGCAAGUCGAGCGAACAGACGAGGAGCUUGCUCCUCUGACGUUAGCGGCGGACGUGUGAGUAACACGUGUAUAACCUACCUAUAAGACUGGGAUAACUUCGGGAAACCGGAGCUAAUACCGGAUAAUAUAUUGAACCGCAUGGUUCAAUAGUGAAAGACGGUUUUGCUGUCACUUAUAGAUGGAUCCGCGCCGCAUUAGCUAGUUGGUAAGGUAACGGCUUACCAAGGCAACGAUGCGUAGCCGACCUGAGAGGGUGAUCGGCCACACUGGAACUGAGACACGGUCCAGAGUCCUACGGGAGGCAGCAGUAGGGAAUGUUCCGCAAUGGGCGAAAGCCUGACGGAGCAACGCCGCGUGAGUGAUGAAGGUCUUCGGAUCGUAAAACUCUGUUAUUAGGGAAGAACAAAUGUGUAAGUAACUAUGCACGUCUUGACGGUACCUAAUCAGAAAGCCACGGCUAACUACGUG
rnacentral:rRNA from 1 species